CUCCCUUCCCUCUUCUCUCUCCCCUCAACUCUCCUCAUUCUUCGCAGGCUGAGCAGCAACCGCCCCAAUCUGCAGUUCAAGAACCGCCCACGCAGAACCCCUCCGCCCUCCGCUCCUUCCAACUUGCUCUCUACCUGCACCAGCCUCGCCCACCCUUCGCUCGCCGCCGCCAUGGGGAGGGGAAAGUUCAAGGGAAAGCCCACCGGCCGCCACAGCGUCUCCACACCAGAGGAGAUCGGUAACGACGCGCCCGCCCGCCCCAUGGUCCCAUUUAUAGGUCGAAUUCGAUUUCAUAUCUGGAGCGUGCCACAGCGAGCCUAGACGACUGCUUGAUCUGAUGAUUUCAAUCUGCUGGUACUUCAGGUCGCCCUCGCACCUUUAUGAAGACAUGCAAUUGAAAAAGAGAAUUGAUCUUUUUUAUGGGCGAAGUGUCGAAGAUGGCUUUGGUGAAGGAAAUGUCUUGUUAGCAUCAAGUAAAUGGCGACAUCACAACCCCUACAAGCUUGUGCCUUAAAACAAGAGGAUACAAGAAGUUGGAGUGCUUUUGUGAAGGCUUUUGCGAAUCACUUGAAGCGUUAGUACUUUUGUGAAUGAUUUUGUAAAGUGUUUGCAAAUAUGUGCAAAACAUAAUAACAUGUGUAGGUUUUGCGAAUGAUUUUGUUGUGAUGCUUGUUGAUGGUUUA